rnacentral:rRNA from 1 species
GAUGAACGCUGGCGGCGUGCCUAAUACAUGCAAGUCGAGCGAACAGACGAGGAGCUUGCUCCUCUGACGUUAGCGGCGGACGGGUGAGUAACACGUGGAUCACCUACCUAUAAGUCUGGGAUCACUUCGGGAAACCGGAGCUAAUACCGGAUAAUAUAUUGCACCGCAUGGUUCAAUAGUGAAAGACGGUUUUGCUGUCACUUAUAGAUGGUUCCGCGCCGCAUUAGCUAGUUGGUAAGGUAACGGCUUACCAAGGCAACGAUGCGUAGCCGACCUGAGAGGGGGAUCGGCCACACUGGAACUGAGACACGGUCCAGACUCCUACGGGAGGCAGCAGUAGGGAAUCUUCCGCAAUGGGCGAAAGCCUGACGGAGCAACGCCGCGUGAGUGAUGAAGGUCUUCGGAUCGUAAAACUCUGUUAUUAGGGAAGAACAAAUGUGUAAGUAACUAUGCACGUCUUAACGGUACCUAAUCAGAAAGCCACGGCUAACUACGU